rnacentral:lncRNA from 1 species
CCAGAACGGGUCCAAUAAUGAAGCUGGGCUAGAAAAGGAAGAUGCUCUCGAGGGAGGGACCAACCCUGGGCAAAGAUAGGAGUCUUCCUUUCUUCUUGAAUUGUCAUAUUUUGUAAGACCUUUCAUCGGUCCCUUGUAUAUAUAUUUUUCCCAAUAUAUAAAAGAAGAUUUUCCUUGAUUGUUUUCUCAUUAUUCCCUACCUUGUAAAAUUCUUGCAAUGACUUCAUCCCUUUUGACUGUGUGUUUGAGAUAUUUUCUUCGACAUUGCCAUGGCCAAGUUCGAAUAAGUUUGAGCUUUUAGGCAUAAGUCUUUAC